rnacentral:rRNA from 1 species
CAGUCGCCACGGUAAUACAGAGGGUGCAAGCGUUAAUCGGAAUUACUGGGCGUAAAGCGCGCGUAGGUGGUUUGUUAAGUUGGAUGUGAAAUCCCCGGGCUCAACCUGGGAACUGCAUCCAAAACUGGAAAGCUAGAGUAUGGUAGAGGGUGGUGGAAUUUCCUGUGUAGCGGUGAAAUGCGUAGAUAUAGGAAGGAACACCAGUGGCGAAGGCGACCACCUGGACUGAUACUGACACUGAGGUGCGAAAGCGUGGGGAGCAAACAGGAUUAGAUACCCCCGUAGUCCCUGUCUCUUAUAC